CCUACGGGCGGCUGCAGUCGAGAAUCAUUCACAAUGGGGGAAACCCUGAUGGUGCGACGCCGCGUGGGGGAAUGAAGGUCUUCGGAUUGUAAACCCCUGUCAUGUGGGAGCAAAUUAAAAAGAUCGUACCACAAGAGGAAGAGACGGCUAACUCUGUGCCAGCAGCCGCGGUAAUACAGAGGUCUCAAGCGUUGUUCGGAAUCACUGGGCGUAAAGCGUGCGUAGGCUGUUUCGUAAGUCGUGUGUGAAAGGCGCGGGCUCAACCCGCGGACGGCACAUGAUACUGCGAGACUAGAGUAAGGGAGGGGGAACCGGAAUUCUCGGUGUAGCAGUGAAAUGCGUAGAUAUCGAGAGGAACACUCGUGGCGAAGGCGGGUUCCUGGACAUUAACUGACGCUGAGGCACGAAGGCCAGGGGAGCGAAAGGGAUUAGAUACCCGGGUAGUC
rnacentral:rRNA from 1 species